CAAAAGCAAAGCUCAAAGAGCUCAAGCCUGAGCUUAAAUGGGCUCCUGGGCCACGGCUGGAGGAUGGUGGAGGCUCCAGGUGAACCUCGUCAAGCUAUUUCUGUGAAGUCCCAUACUCAAUUCACAGCUGGCAGGGAACAAAAACGUGUUGCUUUUAGGACCGUAAGUAUAGAGGCUAAGCCACUGGGGAGAAGAAAUAUGGUGCUUCAUCCUCCUGGCUCAAGUGCAGAACCUGAACAGGCUAGAGCACAAUCAGAGCACUCUGUCUCUGCACCAUUUGGGAUUCAGACUUCAGGGAAGGUAGAGCUCCCAGAUGGGUCAGCAGGAGGAGCUGCUGCUUCCCCGUGGUCUGAAACGCUUUAGGAAACUGGAGCUUUUGUGUCUUGGACCGUUUGCUUUCACACAGAUGAAGAAGUCAUGCAAAGGACACCUCAAGAUGGAACACCGUGAGCCUACAGGGCCUGAGAGCAGUGUUUUGAUCCACAGCUACAGCAGUGACUCCGAACCAUUUGGUCACAGGUCUGGAGGUGCUGGUGUAUCAGAAUGGACCCGAUCACAUACUGUGACUGAGAUGUCGGCGCUGAGCCGAUUUAAGCUUGUUUGAAGGAUGAAAGUCACCGCUGGCUGUGCUGGGGCUGAGAAAUUACACCUGGCGAUAAUAUUAUGAUCUUUUUUUUCUUCUUUAAGAGCUCUUUGCACUCUUCCUCCAUGCUGUGCUCACGUCAGGAGCAGGGAGGAGGCAACAGAGGAAUUGCUCUGGAGUGCUAUUUUAGCCCAUUCCCACUUGCUGUCUGUUCCUCAGCAAGCAGGGUGACAUUUUUCUCCUUAACGUGACAGCUCACAUUCAGAUCAUCCCAUUUUGGUGAUGCAUGUGCUCAGGAUCUGUUUAAUCAGGGAUUUAACAGGAGGGAGUAGGGGGAGGCAGAGCGUGGCUGCGCUGAGGGGCUGAGAAGCAUUGAAUGUGCUCACUCAGCCGCAGGGGCUGAGCACCACAGCCACUUUGCUCAGGAAAGCAAUAAGAAAAAGGAG
ensembl:lncRNA